AUGGGACUAGUUAAAAAUCAAUAUGUUGCAAGAACAUUUAUUCAACCAACUCAAGAAUUACGUGAGCAAGGUGUGAGAGUGAAGUUAUCUGCGGUAAAAGAUAUAGUAGAUGGGAAAAAUAUCAUUCUUGUUGAUGAUUCCAUUGUUCGCGGUACGACAAUUCGACGCAUUGUGAAAAUGUUAAAAGAUUCUGGUGCAAAUAAAGUGCAUGUGCGUAUAGCAUCACCGGAAUUUAUGUUCCCAAGUUUUUAUGGAAUCGAUGUUUCAACUACGGCAGAAUUAAUUUCUGCAAGCAAAUCACCUGAAGAAAUUAAAGAUUAUAUUGGCGCUGAUUCAUUAGCAUAUCUAUCUGUAGAUGGGUUAAUUGAAUCAAUUGGUUUAGAUUAUGACGCGCCAUAUAGUGGCUUAUGUGUAGAAAGUUUCACUGGAGAUUAUCCUGCAGGGUUAUAUG
rnacentral:sRNA from 1 species